GACGGAGGGUGCUAGCGUUGUUCGGAAUUACUGGGCGUAAAGGGCGCGUAGGCGGCCGUUUGCGUCGGAUGUGAAAGCCCGGGGCUCAACCCCGGAACGGCAUCCGAUACGGGACGGCUGGAGACCGGGAGAGGAGGGUGGAAUAGCCAGUGUAGUGGUGAAAUUCGUAGAUAUUGGCUGGAACACCGGUGGCGAAAGCGGCUCUCUGGCCCGGUUCUGACGCUGAGGCGCGAAAGCGUGGGGAGCAAACAGG
rnacentral:rRNA from 1 species